rnacentral:rRNA from 1 species
AUAAGUUUAGUUAUGAUAUAUAUUUCAAGAGAUUUAAUAUCUAGUUUUUUUAGAGAUUUAAGUUAAGAUAAAAUGAUUUUAAUUUAAGUUAAUAGGGUUUAGCUUAUUAAUAUAUUAUAUAUAAAUAAAAUAUUAGUUUAUUUAUGUGAAUUUGAUAUUGUUUAUUUAUAUGAUUUUAUAAUAAAAGAUGAAAUAAUAAUUUGAUUUUUUUAAAAUUAUAUGGAUUUAUAAAAAAAUUUUAUUUAAUUAUUAAAUUUUAAUUAUAAUGAUAAAAUUAGUAAAAUUUAGAAAAUAUAAUUUUUUAGGUUUAUGUUUAUUUUUUAUUAAGAUUAUUAUAAAUGAAUUAGGCAAAAUAUUUUUUUGACUGUUUAGCAAAAACAUUGUUUCAUGAAAAUAAAUAUGAAAUAAUGUCUGUCCACUGAUGAUUUAAAGGACUGCAGUAUAAUGACUGUAUGAAGGUAGCAUAAUCAUUAGCUUUUUAAUUUGAAGUUGGUAUGAAGGCGAAACAGAAAAAUUCUUUAUUUUAAGUAAAAUUUUAAGUUAAUAAGCAAGUGAAAAAUCUUGCUUGAAAAAGAGGGACAAGAAGACCCUAAUAAGUUUUAUUUUUAAAAAAAUUGUGUUAAAGGAAAUUUAUUUAUUAGAUAAUAUUUAAAUAAAAAUUUGAUUGGGGCGAUUGGUAAAAAAACAUUAUAAGUUUAUAAUUUUU